GACAGAGGGGGCAAGCGUUGUCCGGACUCACUGGGCGUAAAGGGCGCGUAGGCGGUUUUGUGCGUCGGUGCUGAAAGCGCUCGGCUUAACCGAGCGAGGCGUGCCGAUACGAUGAAACUGGAGGGUGGGCGAGGUUGGUGGAAUUCCGGGUGUAGUGGUGAAAUGCGUAGAGAUCCGGAGGAACGCCAGUGGUGCAAACGGCCAACCAGCCCAUACCUGACGCUGAGGCGCGAAAGCGUGGGGAGCGAACCGG
rnacentral:rRNA from 1 species